CGCAUCUGUGCAUGCAGCAUAUCAAUAAGCGGAGGAAAAGAAACUAACAAGGAUUCCCUUAGUAACGGCGAGUGAAGCGGGAAGAGCUCAAAUUUGAAAUCUUCAAGGUUUUACCUUGACGAAUUGUAGUUUAAAGAAGUGUUUUCUGUUGAAGUUUUGGUAAAAGUUCUUUGGAAUAGGACAUCAUAGAGGGUGAGAAUCCCGUAUUUGACCAUUAUUUUCAGCUGUGUGAUACACUUUCAAAGAGUCGGAUUGUUUGGGAAUGCAGUCCAAAAUGGGUGGUAAAUUUCAUCUAAAGCUAAAUAUUGGCGAGAGACCGAUAGCGAACAAGUACCGUGAGGGAAAGAUGAAAAGAACUUUGAAAAGAGAGUUAAACAGUACGUGAAAUUGUCAAAAGGGAAGCGUUUGACACCAGUGUUGUUUUCUCGAAAAUCAAUUAAAAAGAGUUUGAUUUUGUUGUGUAUUGACCUUAACAGCUUGCAUUUCAAUUUUCUUGCUUUUUUUAAUGCACUUUUCGUUUAACAAGUCAACAUCAGUUUCUUUUGUUGUAAAAAGGUCAUUGGAAGGUGGCUUUCUUUUCGGAGAAAGUGUUUAUAGCCUUUGACUCCUGCAAUCGGAGAGACUGAGGUCUGCAGCGUAGAUCCUUCGGGGUUAGAUACAUUUGUGCUAAGUUAUAGCUUUUUAUAGACAACUUGUUGACUAUGAUUAGUCUUGUAGCUUACUCGCUUAUGCUAUUUUACCUACGCUUAGGAUGUUGACACACGCGCGUGCUCGACUCUAUACAUGACUCUGUGCAUAUCAAUAAGCGGAGGAAAAGAACUAAUUUACCUUACGCUUAGGAUGUUGACGCAUGAGAUAUACGC
rnacentral:rRNA from 1 species